rnacentral:lncRNA from 1 species
CAUAUUCUUGAUUGGAAAAAAAUUAGUGCAAUCAAUACUUCUGAACUCUAGCUUCAUAUUAAUAUCAAUAUGAUCUUGAUCCUGGAUCUGAAGGGGUUUUUUCAAAAGGCAGGGAGCUCACUUCCUGAAGGAAUUAAUUGGAUAAUUUCACCUCUUUGAAGAUGGGUGGUGGAAACAUGAAUUCUUUCUUGAUUAUGGGCUUCCGAUUGGAGAUUACCUCAUGUUUUCACUAAACUAACAUGGAUAGACUCAUUUCACCAAAACUUUCGAAUGAGAAGGAUACCGAAAGAUUCCUUCAGCGAUGCUGCAGGUUCAAUAAAUAUAUGCAACUUUUUUCUUUUCUAGUUCUGGACCAGAACAUGGCUUUGGUUUGACAUUAUGUAGCUUGAGGAGUCAUUCACUAACUUACAUGCUAUGUAUGUUAUAUAAAAGGGGUCAACCUUUAUCCAGCUCAAAGAACACCAGAUAAGUGUUCGUGUUUAUGGGAGCCCAUGUCGGUUGUAUACAGAAGAAUCAUGAGGAUUUCGCUUUAGAGGAACCAAAUUUCGGGGACAAAUGCUUUCAGGUAAAUGACCUUCAAUUUAGAGCUUUGAGUAAUAAUAAUAAAGACAAAGUUAUAUAAUUUUCAUGUUAAAUUCUCUAUUAUACCUUUUAAUAUGAACUCACUUCAAUUAUAUAUCAAGUUUCAGUUGUGUUCAUUCUUUGCGAUAAUCUGACUCUAAUGUUCCCAUUGAGCCCUCAAUUUUGAAAGUAUACCAUGUUAACCAAACAACUAAGGUUACAUGACUAAAAACAUGCAUAUUACUGAUGAGCUGUAUUUGUUUGGUUUGAUAUUUUUGUUGGACAAGAGUAGAGGCCAUCUUACCUUUCAAGUUGUAGCACUAAGGGGAAGAAAGUAUGAUAUGGUUCCAGUUCAUAGAUACAUUUUAGAGAAUAUUAUCUCUAUUAUCCUAUAUUGUGUAGUAGAUUUUCUAUCUGGUCAUGACUACCAAAACAUACUAAAGACGAUUCCUCUAUUUUAUAGUAGACUUUCCAUGUCGUGCUCUUUUUUGUAUUUGUUUCAGAACUUCAUAUCGUCACAGAUUUACUUAAGGAUGAGAAAUUUUUUCCAUCCAUGAAGCAAAAGGUGGAAAGUAACUCUUUUUCUGGACCGUGUUAAUAUAUUUAUAGUAUACAAAGUAACUCUUUGUAUACAAGACACUUCUCUGUUAGAGUAUAAUAAGGAUGAUACUUGAAAUUAAUUAAUAAACUAGCAUUCUGGUUUAUUUUAAUGAAUGCUACAUGCACAAACUAUUCUACAAACAUUUUACAAACUGCUGAUGUGACAUACUCCACCCCAGCAUAUUUUGUGGGGCCGAAAACUAUAUUGAAACAAUUUAUUGAUCAAAAUGCUCAGGUGGAGUAUGUUACAUCAGUAGUUUGUAAAAUGUUUGUAAAAUAGUUUGUCUAUAGCAUUACUCUAUUUUAAUUGACUUGCUUAAUCUGCAUGAAAUCACCAAUUUUGACAUUAUUAAUGGGACUUUGGAUGAAUAUGUACGAGCCUAUAUUUAGAUGAAACAAUAGUCAUUUAAUUUCUAAACACAACAUUAGGUUAAUCACUGUAUUGUUGUGUCAAAUGUUAAUUCUUGUUUUGCUUAUGUAGACUUGAUGGACGAG